rnacentral:rRNA from 1 species
UACGGAGGAUGCGAGCGUUAUCCGGAUUUAUUGGGUUUAAAGGGUGCGCAGGCGGAUUUUUAAGUCAGCGGUCAAAUCGUGGGGCUCAACCCCAUCCAGCCGUUGAAACUGGGGGCCUUGAGUGGGCGAGAAGAAGGCGGAAUGCGUGGUGUAGCGGUGAAAUGCAUAGAUAUCACGCAGAACCCCGAUUGCGAAGGCAGCCUUCCGGCGCCCUACUGACGCUGAGGCACGAAAGUGCGGGGAUCGAACAGG